GUCAGGUAUUUUUAUUACUAAAUAGUUUAUAUGAAUGGAAACAGAAUUACUACAAUUAAUUAUCUUGAAUCGCAAUAUCUUCGCACUGAUAUUAUAAGUUACAGAGUGUGUAAUAAUACAAUACAAAUAGGGUUUUAAAUUUAAUAAGGGUAAAAGCGACGCUCAAACCCCAUAUGGAAUUUACUCACCCAUAUAUAAUUUGUAUUGGGUCACUAGUAUACUUGGCAACGAAUUUAUCUUACCGGCUACCUUAACAUGUGCUAUCUAGACUAAUGGACUAUCAAAGUGACCAGGUCUCCAAUAUAAAGAGCGAACUUCCAUUGAUCUAUACAAAAAAUAGUGCUAAUAACAACAAAUUUUUACUUUAAAUUUGUUUUCUGCAUUUAUUUCAUCAAUUUCUUCACCUGUUUAACGGGCAUAACAUUUCCAUUUUUUUUUAUUAAAAGGGACUUAACUUCACUAAUGCCUCUGCAUUGAAAUAAACCAAGCAUACUAACCACAUAUAAAAUAUACACGGUCUCCAGGCAAUCGUAUUCAAUCAAUCAUAUUUCUAGAAAUGUAUAAUCGGCAAAAAAAAAAUGUGAACAAGAUAAAGAUAUGAAAACUAAAUCUACAGUAAGUAAAUAACCUUUUGUACUUGAAUUUAUUCUAUUCUGAGUCAAAGAUUAUAGAUCAAGGAAGAUGUGGAAUGAGUGUCAAUGAGAAAACCCUCCAUCCAAGUAAAAGUAAACCAUUAUGCUCAGUGUCCUCAAUGCUCUUCAAUUUCGUACUUUAUUUGGCCUUUUAAACAUUUUUUUAUUCGAGCGUCACUGAUGAGUCUUUUGUAGACGAAACGCACGUCUGGCGGUGUAAAUCCUGGUAUCUAUGAUGAUAAAAUUGAGAAAAGAAAUGGGGAAUGUGUCAGAGCGACAACAACCCGACAAUAGAGCAAACAACAGCCGAAGGCCACCAAUGGUUCUUCAAUGUAGCUAGACACUCCAGCACCCGGAGGCGGUCUUCAGCUGGCCCCUUUAUGUAUGCUAAUUUAUUUAUAUAGGUCAUAGAACGGUCUUCAACACAGAGCCUUGGCUAACAAAGAACAGCAAAUUAUAAAGGGCCUCACAAAUGACUAGUGUAAAGCAUUUCAAACAGGAAAACCAACGGUGUAACCUUUAUAAAAAGAAAAAGAAAUACUUAUGAACCACAUCAACAAACGACAACCGUUGAACACCUGGUUCCUGAUUUAGGACAGGUGCAAAAUGCAACGGUUUUAUUCGUUUAAAUUGGUACCAACCGUCACCCUUUCAGGAAACAAUAGUGUAACAUUACAAUAUAAAAUAUAUCAAA
rnacentral:lncRNA from 1 species